AUGCCCAUUAAUAUAAAAUAUGCCCACUAAAAAACCCAUGACCCGUCACGGGUUUGAUUUUGUGCCCAAACCCAUGCCCAUCGGGUCACGGGUAUUUAACGGGUUGUCCGUGCUCGUCACAGCAUGUCAUAAGAUGGUCAUCCAGUCAAGUGAGCAAGUCUACUCUAUAGCGCACCAAAAUACUUAAAGUUGAAUUAAUUGGCAAGGUGGGACUCAUGUUAUGUGUUAUUACACCUCUGCACUAGAAAUUUGAGAGUUCU
rnacentral:lncRNA from 1 species